rnacentral:misc_RNA from 1 species
UCCGAGUUGACCCCGGCAGUCUCCUAUGAGUCCCCGCCAUAACGCGCUGGCAGCAUAGAACGAGGGUUGCGCUCGUUGCGGGACUUAACCCAACAUCUCACGACACGAGCUGACGACAGCCAUGCAGCACCUCCACGGCAGCCCCGAAGGGAAGCUCCAUCUCUGGAGCGGUCCGCCGCAGUUCAAACCCAGGUAAGGUUCUUCGCGUUGCGUCGAAUUAAACCACAUGCUCCACCGCUUGUACGGGCCCCCGUCAAUUCCUUUGAGUUUUAGCCUUGCGGCCGUACUCCCCAGGCGGGGCACUUAAUGCGUUAGCUUCGGCACGGAGGGAGUCGACACCCCCCACACCUAGUGCCCAUCGUUUACGGCGUGGACUAC